GCUACGGUGGUCUAGCGGUUAGAACGCUGGCCUUGUAAUCCUGGUCUCGGGUUCGAUUCCCGGCGGUGCCC
rfam:Zootermopsis nevadensis contig3993, whole genome shotgun sequence.